rnacentral:piRNA from 1 species
UCAAUUAAGCCUUUUUCUCCCCA